rnacentral:rRNA from 1 species
AUACGGAGGAUCCGAGCGUUAUCCGGAUUUAUUGGGUUUAAAGGGUGCGCAGGCGGCCAUUUAAGUCAGCGGUUAAAUCGUGGGGCUCAACCCCAUUCUGCCGUUGAUACUGGGUGGCUUGAUUGCGGUCGAGGUUGGCGGAAUUCGUUGUGUAGCGGUGAAAUGCAUAGAUAUGACGAGGAACACCGAUUGCGUAGGCAGCUGACCAGACCGCAAAUGACGCUCAUGCACGAAAGUGCGGGGAUCGAACAGGAUUAGAUGCCCUGGUAGUCCGCACAGUAAACGAUGAAUACUUGUUUUCGGCGAUAUAAUGUCGGAGGCAAAGCGAAAGCGAUAAGUAUUCCACCUGGGGAGUACGCCGGCAACGGUGAGACCCAAAUGAAUUGGCGGGG